AAAAGGUAAGCCUAUUAUUCAAGCCUAAUAUCUAUGAUGGUCAUGCUGAAUGAUGGUGACUGCUAUCCUAUUGCUGUUGUCCUGACAUGCUUCUAUCUUAUUUAUCACUUCAUAGCAUGGAGUGCAACUGCUCAAAGAUUGAUGGAAAGGUUGAAACCUACUUUGAAAGAGGUCCCCAACAGAGAUGAACAACAAACUUCUCAAUGAAUGACCGUUUGAUCUUUUAACGUUUUCAGCAGG